rnacentral:rRNA from 1 species
GACGAACGCUGGCGGCGUGCUUAACACAUGCAAGUCGAACGGAAAGGCCCCUUUAGGGGUACUCGAGUGGCGAACGGGUGAGUAACACGUGAGUAACCUGCCCUUGACUUCGGGAUAACUUCAGGAAACUGGGGCUAAUACCGGAUAGGAAUCCUUGCUGCAUGGUGGGGGUUGGAAAGCUUCGGCGGUUUUGGAUGGACUCGCGGCUUAUCAGCUUGUUGGUGGGGUAGUGGCUUACCAAGGCUUUGACGGGUAGCCGGCCUGAGAGGGCGACCGGCCACAUUGGGACUGAGAUACGGCCCAGACUCCUACGGGAGGCAGCAGUGGGGAAUAUUGCACAAGGGGCGGAAGCCUGAUGCAGCAACGCCGCGUGCGGGAUGACGGCCUUCGGGUUGUAAACCGCUUUCAGCAGGGGCGAAGCUUGUGGUGACGGUACCUGCAGAAGAAGCACCGGCUAACUACGUG